rnacentral:lncRNA from 1 species
GCUAACCAACGUAGAGGAUCAUCCUUCUCUUAAAAACAUUACUUUCCUUUUUAUGCGUACGACUUGACCAAAUUUUAUGUCUUAUUAUUCGAGUCACACAAUGUCCAGCAAGCUUUAUUUACAAUUACUUGUUUUAACUACUUAUCUAUUAAAAGACUAAUUCAUAUAUAUAUAAGUUCAACCAGGACCCACAGUUGUGGACUAAGAGUGGUGCCUAACACCUUCCCUUGAAGAUUAUUUCGAGCCCUUACCCUAAAUCUCUGUAAACACAAACCAAUCCA